AGCCGGGCACCAUCACCGCGCUAAUGGGGCCCUCCGGCUUGAAGUAUAAUCCUCGUUGUUAGGUUUAGUUCUUUCUAAAGUGACCUUAGCUGAAUAAUUGGCCGGCAGCGUGUGUAUGUCCACGUCCGGUUCAGUCUUUUUUCUUCAGUUAGUUCAGUUAGCGCUGGCAAGACCGCUUCCAUGGGAUGGCGUGGAACUACAGCGGGUUUGACGGCGGCGUAGUGGCUCGCGCAAGCUUAGCAUCAUGGGAUGGCACGAUCAGUAGGCUAGGUGUGCGUGGGUGUGAUCUCCUUUGAUUUCGGCAACUCGUUUGAGCUCUGCAUAAAUAACAGAAAGACCUGAAAAGCUGCAGUCAGUUAAGCAGCGCAAAAACUCUCUGUCAGACUCGUUCGUUCUCCUCCUCUCUCGAUCCAAUCUUGCUCCUUCCCUCUCGCGUUCGGCAGGCCAGUUUCUGCAACAACAAGUGGCAUCAGAGCCUCGGCGGUGUUCGAUCCAUCCUGGGCGCCGGCGGUGUUUGAUCCGUCGGAGAGAUGGUCGGCAGCGACGUCGAGAAGGCGACGAAGAAGAAAGAGGAAGAAGAGGCCGCGGCGGAGGCAUCGGCGCUUGGAAAGUCCCUGGCCCGUCUCUCCACCGAGGAGGGGUCGGGGGUGCGCGUCGUGGAGCGCAUCGUGCACGGUGGUGGCGGCGGCGCGCCUCCGAUGAUGCUCAAUCGCACCAACUACUCUGAUUGGGCCAUGAUCACUAAGCUGCAGUUGCAGGCCGACGAACUGUGGCGCGUGGUGGCGACAGGCAAAGGGACGGACCGUGACGACCGGCGCGCCAUGAUCGCCCUCCUCAAGGGGGUCCCGCCGGAGCUCAUGCGGAUCCUCGGCGCCAAGGCCACUGCCAAGGAGGCAUGGGACACUCUGAAGACCAUGCGUGUCGGCGUCGAGCGCGUGCGCGAGGCCAAGGCGCAAACUCGCCGGUCGGAGUACGAGGUGCUUCGGUACAAGGACGGCGAGGGAAUCGAGUCGUACGUGAUGCGGCUCAGGACGAUCAUCGACGACCUGCAGGCGCUCGGCGAUCCCAUGGACGAGCACAAGGCCGUCCUCAAGGUGCUCCGGACUGUGCCGCGGCCAUACCGUGAGAUGGUCGUGGCGAUCGAGUCGCUCGUCGACACCAAGCAGCUUUCCCUCGAGGAACUCUGCGGCCGGCUCCUUGUCGUCGAGGAGCGAGAGCGUGAGGAGACCCCGGCGCCCGGCGCGCAGCUGUUGUACACCAUCGAUCAGUGGCGGGCGCACGAGAAGCAGCUGGACCAGGGCGGCGCGUCCUCAGGCUCUGGAGCGGGGCAUGGACGCGGGAACGGCAAGCCAAAGAACCUCCAUGGCGGCGGUGGCCGCGGCAACGGUGGUCCAGCGACGCCCAAGCGAAAGGGCAACUGCCGCUACUGCGGCAUCCCAGGUCACUGGGCCAAAGAAUGCCGCAAGAAGGAAAGGGACCAGCGGGAGCAGCCGGACCAACAGGCAAACGUCGCCCAGGUCGAAGUCGAGCAGCCGGGCUUGUUGCUGGCCACCUGCGCGGUGGUGAACGGCGAGAGCGUGAACGGCGGCGCACGUGAACCGGGCACGGAGAUCUUCCUCAACGAAGCGCGGGUCGUGCCCGUGGCGACGGACGACGACCGCUGGUACCUCGACACCGGCGCCAGCAACCACAUGACAGGGCGCCGCGACAUGCUCUCGGAGCUCGACGAGACGGUACGAGGUACUGUACAUUUUGGUGACGGCUCGGUCGUGCAGAUUUGUGGGCGCGGCGUUGUGCUCUUCACGUGCCGUAACGGUGAACAUCGCGCACUCGCCGACGUCUACUACAUCCCGCAACUACGCACAAGCAUCGUCAGCAUCGGGCAGCUCGACGAGCGCGGCUGCAAAGCCGUGAUCGAGGACGGGGAACUCUGCCUGUAUGACAGGCAGAGGCUGCUGCUCGCGCGGGUGCGGCGGACGAGCAACCGGCUUUACGUCGUGGCUCUAAACUUGGCCGUACCCGUGUGCCUCCUCGCCGGAGCUCAGGACGAUGCCUGGAGGUGGCAUGCAAGAUACGGGCACCUGCACUUCCGCGCGCUGCAUGACCUCGGUGCAAAGGGCAUGGUGCGCGGCAUGCCAGCCAUCGCGCACCUCGACCAGUUCUGCAAGGGCUGCACCAUUGGGAAGAUGCACCGCACUCCUUUCCCACGCGCAUCGUCGUACCGCGCGGAGAGCGCGCUCGAGCUCGUGCACGGCGACUUGUGUGGUCCGAUCACUCCGGCGACGGCCAGCGGUAACAAGUAUUUUCUGUUGAUAGUUGACGAUUUCAGCAGAUACAUGUGGCUUGAGGUAAUGAAAAGCAAGGAUGAGGCAUUUCGGUACUUCAAGAAGAUCAAGGCACACGCGGAGGUGCAAGGAAACGCCAAGCUCCGGGCGCUCCGCAUAGACAGAGGUGGCGAGUUCACCUCAAACGAAUUCGCCGCAUACUGUGAAGAACUGGGGAUCCAGAGGAACACGAUGACGCCGUACUCUCCUCAGCAAAAUGGAGUGGUCGAACGGAGGAACCAGACUGUCGUGGAGAUGGCGCGCAGCCUCAUGAAGGCCAUGGGCGUGCCGUGCGCGUUUUGGGGCGAGGCCGUGCGCACCGCCGUCCACAUCCUCAACCGGUCGCCAACCAGAAGCCUGCAGGGCAUCACGCCAUACGAGGCGUGGCGCAAGAAGAAGCCAGCGGUGGACUACUUCCGCACUUUCGGCUGCGUCACGCAUGUCAAGCUCGUCGGGCCAGGAAUGACCAAGCUGGCGGACAGAUCGCGCCCUGGCAUCUUCCUGGGGUACGAGCCGGGGACGAAGGGCUAUCGGGUGUACGACCCGAUUGGCAAGCGUCUGUACAUCACUCGCGAUGUGCGCUUCGAGGAGGACCGGCGCUGGGACUGGAGCAAGGACGUCGGCGACUCGGUGCACACCCGCGAGUUCACUGUCGUGUACUCCGACACGGGUGCGCCCGUAACCACGACCUACACCGUGUCGCCCGAGGUGGUGGGAUCACCGCGAGCACCUGCGACGCCAACUGCGCCAAGUUCACUAGUUCCACUGCAAUCCCCUCAGACGCCUGUGUCUGGCGAGUCGGGCGUGGGUGCGUCGAGAGCGUCGAGCGCGCCAACAUCAGCAAGUGCCAGUCCGUCUACGCCAACACCGAAGUUCUACGACCCCAAAGACGGGUGGGUGACUCCGCCCACCGGCGAGUCGUUCGAUUCCGAGGGGGUGCCCGUCCACUUCAAGUCAAUGGAGUAUGUGAUCGAUCACGCUCCAGAAUGCACGCUGGAGUACAGUAGGCUCUGUCUCUCUGCUGUAGAAGAGCCUGCUUCCGUCGACGAUGCUCUGGAGGAGCCAGCAUGGCGAAAUGCGAUGGAGGCAGAGAUGGAGUCUAUCCGCGCCAACAACACCUGGGAGCUUCCCACGCUCCCGGCGGGCCACCGUGCGAUCGGCCUGAAGUGGGUAUAUAAAGUGAAGCGUGAUCCGGCUGGCAACAUCAUCAAGCACAAAGCGCGGCUGGUGGCGAAGGGCUAUGCACAGAAACAAGGGGUCGACUUCGAUGAGGUCUUCGCGCCUGUUGCCCGGCUGGAGACAGUGCGUGUCCUGCUCGCCAUGGCUGCGCACCGGAGCUGGAGCGUGCACCACAUGGAUGUGCGCUCGGCCUUCCUCAACGGUGAACUGGAGGAGGAAGUGUACGUGCACCAGCCAGCAGGGUUUGUCGACAACGAUGGUGCUCACAAGGUACUCAAGCUGCGGAAGGCGUUGUACGGGCUACGACAGGCGCCACGGGCAUGGAACGCCAAGCUGGACCUCACGCUGCAGUCACUUGGGUUCGCAAAGUGUCAGUUGGAUCAUGCUUUGUACAGGCGCGGGGACGACUCAGAUUUCCUGCUGGUGGGGGUGUACGUCGACGAUCUGAUAAUCACGGGCACUUCUGCUGACGCCAUUGAGGAGUUCAAGACCCAGAUGCAGGAGCUCUUCCAGAUGACAGAUCUUGGGCUGCUCAGUUACUGUCUUGGCAUUGAAGUGAAGCAAGAGCAUGGCAUGAUCACUGUUUGUCAGUCUGGAUAUGCUGCCAAGAUCUUGGAAGAUGCUGGGAUGAGUGACUGCAACCCGAGCUUGACACCCAUGGAGCAUCGCCUGAAGCUUGUCAAGAACACUGGAGAGGCGGUCGAUGCAACCAGGUAUCGCAGUAUCAUUGGGAGUCUGAGAUAUCUGGUGAAUACACGCCCGAAUAUUGCCUAUGCUGUGGGUGUGGCUAGCAGAUUCAUAGAAGCACCUGGGAAGCAACACUGGGCGAUCAUCAGACAGAUUUUGAGGUAUGUUCGAGGCACACUGAGCUAUGGUUGCCCAUACAAGGCAGGGAAAGGAACUGGUCUGACAGGGUUCAGCGACAGCGACCAUGCCGGCGAUCUGACAGACAGGAAGAGCACGACAGGUCUGGUGUUCUUCAUGGGGCCUAGUGUCAUCACUUGGAGCUCCCAGAAACAGAAGAUCGUGGCUUUAUCUUCCUGUGAGGCUGAAUAUAUAGCAGCAGCUACACAAGCUGUUUGGCUCAGAGGACUAGUUUCAGAGAUGCUUGGAACAGGGAAGCAGAAAGUACAACUCAAGAUCGACAACAAGUCAGCAAUUGAGCUAAGCAAAAACCCAGUGCACCAUGAGAGGAGCAAACACAUUGACUUGAGGUAUCACUACAUCAGAGAAUGUGUUGAAGAAAGAAAAGUGGAGGUUGAGCAUGUUCGAACUGAAGAUCAGUUGGCUGAUAUACUGACAAAGUCACUUGGGCGUGCUAAGUUCACAGAACUCCGGUGCAGACUUGGGAUCAUUCAGGUCAAGUGAGGGCAACAGAAUUAGGGGGUGAUCUGAAGUAUAAUCCUCGUUGCUAGGUUUAGUUCUUUCUAAAGUCACCUUAGCUGAAUAAUUGGCCGGCAGCGUGUGUAUGUUCACGUCCGGUUCAGUCUUUUUUCUUCAGUUAGUUCAGUUAGCGCCGGCAAGACCGCUUCCAUGGGAUGGCGUGGAACUACAGCGGGUUUGACGGCGGCGUAGUGGCUCGCGCAAGCUUAGCAUCGUGGGAUGGCACGAUCAGUAGGCUAGGUGUGCGUGGGUGUGAUCUCCUUUGAUUUCGGCAACUCGUUUGAGCUCUGUAUAAAUAACAGAAAGACCUGAAAAGCUGCAGUCAGUUAAGCA
rnacentral:lncRNA from 1 species